rnacentral:rRNA from 1 species
GAGGAAUAUUGGUCAAUGGGCUUGCGCCUGAACCAGCCAAGUCGCGUGAGGGAAGACUGCCCUAUGGGUUGUAAACCUCUUUUGUCAGGGAGCAACGCCGGCUACGUGUAGCCGGACUGAGAGUACCUGAAGAAAAAGCAUCGGCUAACUCC